GGAGGGGUGCCGGAGUGGACAAACGGGCCUCACUCGAAAUGAGGUGUCCCGAUUUUCGGGACCGGGAGUUCGAAUCUCCCCCCCUCCG
rnacentral:tRNA from 1 species